rnacentral:rRNA from 1 species
UACGGGGGGGGCAAGUGUUGUUCGGAAUUACUGGGCGUAAAGGGUGCGUAGGCGGGCAGGUAAGUCAGUGGUGAAAUCUCCGGGCUUAACCCGGAAACUGCCGUUGAUACUAUCUGUCUUGAAUAUCGUGGAGGUGAGCGGAAUAUGUCAUGUAGCGGUGAAAUGCUUAGAUAUGACAUAGAACACCGAUUGCGAAGGCAGCUCGCUACACGGUUAUUGACGCUGAGGCACGAAAGCGUGGGGAUCAAACAGG